UGUACUCCAAGUGCAGAUUCAAUCUAUUUUGAGUCGAUUUCCAAACGGUUCCAAACGUUCAGAGGAGCGUGCCGUUAUAAGUGCAGAUUCGAUCCAUUUUUAGGAAUAACUGUCCAGAUUCAAUUCAUAACGUGGCCUAACGGCACUCAAAUUACAAUGGCCGUUGCAAAAAGCAGAUUGUGUGACUGUUGAAAAAGCAGUACUCUUUUUUUUUUCCGUGGGUUAUCAUUUUUAAUGGGCAUGGAGGUAAGCAGCAGCAAGAACUCUACGUUCUGGAGUGGCUGAUUGGAGACAUGGCUAGUAAAUGGAGCCACCAUUAAGUUAUCUCUUCAAGUAAAUUUAGGAACUGCUACCGUCCAGAGGAAUCUCUCAUAUUAAUGUCGAUUUAAUCUUCAACGUCUGUUUAUUUGAUUGGAUUUGGAGUUGAUCUGGGAAAUUUCAG